AAGACGUUUCAGACAAUGGAAAAGAGACGUUCCCGCGAAUUUGUCCCUUUUUGGUGGGAUUUUACGAGUCCAGACGUCUUUUAAUAACAGUUCUAAACUAACAUCUUUGCGGGAGCACUCGACAUUAUUCGGUUCAGGUUAUCGGAUAAAAAAAUUACCAAAAGCAAACAAACUUCUGGAUAAUCCCAUCCCAUGCCAUUUCGGACUUCUAAUCAUUCCCGCCUCUGACAGUCGUGAUUAUAGUGAAAAUGAUGAUUAGGAUAAAAAAAGCGACGUGUUUGUGAACGGUUCCAGCCUUUCGAAUUGACACAGUGUGUGACACAUAGAUUCACGAAAUUGUGGUCAAAGGGAUGUUGUCGCUUGACACAUGUACAGUUUCGUUGUCUUUAACGAGUUGUGAGCAGAGGUGAUCGCUUCUGCUGUCAUUGUCACAUGGCAGUGGAGGCGUCGCUGCGUUUUAUUCCAACUACUUUGUGUAUUCCUGUUUUCUAUUGAAAGUUUGGGAAACCGAUUAUCUUGUAUUAUAUCCAUUUUAUA